UAGGGAAUCUUCCGCAAUGGACGAAAGUCUGACGGAGCAACGCCGCGUGAGUGAAGAAGGAUUUCGGUUCGUAAAACUCUGUUGUUAGGGAAGAAAAAAUGUAUAGUAACUAUAUACAAAAGAGACGGUACCUAACCAGAAAGCCACGGCUAACUACGUGCCAGCAGCCGCGGUAAUACGUAGGUGGCAAGCGUUGUCCGGAAUUAUUGGGCGUAAAGCGCGCGCAGGUGGUUUAGAAAGUCUGAUGUGAAAGCCCACGGCUCAACCGUGGAGGGUCAUUGGAAACUAAUAAACUUGAGUGCAGGAGAGAAAAGUGGAAUUCCUAGUGUAGCGGUGAAAUGCGUAGAGAUUAGGAGGAACACCGGUGGCGAAAGCGGCUCUCUGGUCUGUUACUGACGCUGAGAAGCGAAAGCGUGGGGAGCGAACAGG
rnacentral:rRNA from 1 species